rnacentral:rRNA from 1 species
AUUGAACGCUGGCGGCAGGCCUAACACAUGCAAGUCGAACGAGUGGCGGACGGGUGUGUAAUGUCUGGGACACUGCCUGAUGGAGGGGGAUAACUACUGGAAACGGGAGCUAAUACCGCAUAACAUCAGGUGCGCCCAUAGGGGAUUAGCUAGUUGGGGGGGGAACGGCACCCCAAGGCGACGAUCCCUAGGUGGUCUGAGAGGAUGACCAGCCACACUGGAACUGAGACACGGUCCAGACUCCUACGGGAGGCAGCAGUGGGGAAUAUUGCACAAUGGGCGCAAGCCUGAUGCAGCCAUGCCGCGUGUAUGAAGAAGGCCUUCGGGUUGUAAAGUACUUUCAGCGGGGAGGCGUUACCCGCAGAAGAAGCACCGGCUAACUCCGUGCCAGCAGCCGCGGUAAUAC